GAUUUCUUCGGAAUGAAAAUAAGUGGAUUAGUGGCGAACGGGUGAGUAACACGUGAGUAACCUGCCUUACACAAGGGGAUAGCCUUUGGAAACGAAGAAUAAUACCCUAUGACGUCAAUUUAUCGCAUGAUAGAAUGACCAAAGAUUUAUCGGUGUAAGAUGGACUUGCGUCUGAUUAGCUAGUUGGUGAGAUAAAAGCCCACCAAGGCGACGAUCAGUAGCCGGCUUGAGAGAGUGUACGGCCACAUUGGGACUGAGACACGGCCCAAACUCCUACGGGAGGCAGCAGUGGGGAAUUUUGCACAAUGGGGGAAACCCUGAUGCAGCGACGCCGCGUGAUUUAGAAGGCCUUCGGGUUGUAAAAAUCUUUUUUAUGGGAUGAAAAUGACAGUACCAUAAGAAUAAGGUCCGGCUAAAUACGUGCCAGCAGCCGCGGUAAUACGUAUGGACCGAGCGUUGUCCGGAAUCAUUGGGCGUAAAGGGUACGUAGGCGGCCUAGUAAGUUAGAAGUGAAAUAAUAUAGCUCAACUAUAUAAAGCUUUUAAAACUGUUAGGCUUGAGAGAUGAAAGGGAAAGUGGAAUUCCUAGUGUAGCGGUGAAAUGCGCAGAUAUUAGGAAGAAUACCGGUGGCGAAGGCGACUUUCUGGUCAU
rnacentral:rRNA from 1 species